CACUGAGCUACUCAGUGGUAGAGCGGUCGGCUGUUAACCGAUUGGUCGUAGUUCGAAUCCUACUUGGGGA
rnacentral:tRNA from 1 species